CUUCAACGAGCCCAGCCAGAGCGGCUGUUCGGCAUCCCGGUCCUGACCGUAGGUGGCCAGCAGCGCCUGGGCCUC
rnacentral:antisense_RNA from 1 species